rnacentral:lncRNA from 8 species
AAACAAUGGACGGAGGUAAAAAAAUAAAUAACGCUCAAAGAAUGUCAGUGACUUUGAAAAAACCCUCUUGAAGCUACUUUUGUCAAACCACCCAAUUAUGGAGAAUAAACAGCAUGAAAUAAUGCCUGGACAAGCAUCUGUAAUGAAUUCAACUGAAAUGAAAAAGUAAUCAAAAAGAGGCUACAACAACUUCAGGAGAAAAAAGGCUGUUGCUUGUAGGGAGCGUUUCAAGAUUGGUAAGACCAGAGACAGAUGAGCUGGGGGACUUGUUAACCGGGAUCAUUGAUAGCCAGCAACCUCUGAAAGGUAUCCCCGAUGAUGACCAUUUGGACAGUACAGAUGGGGGACCGUUCCAAUCCUAAUUUGAGGCAGAUGAUCACCAUAACUUGGAGGGGGCUUAACAGGAUGAAGGUCAACCUGCUACAACUGCAGCAACCAGGAGGGAAGAUUGUGUCACUAACCUGGGCCAGAGGACAAAGACAAAGAGGCUGAGCAUGCAUGAGAAACUUCCCAUGGAAUUUCAUGAGCGCAAACUAAUGUAUUUAAACGUGAAGGAAGAGGAGAGAAACAUGAAGCAGCAGCAGUGCCAAUGUUCUUCUCAAACCAGCACCAGUUCGGGGUCCCAAUAUUUCUAUUUGUAAAUUAAAAAUCUUAUCCAUGGCUAAUGUUUGCUUCAGUCACUUGAGCUAUCUUUGUUGUGAGAAGUGUUGCAUAGCAACAGCAUCUCUGCAGGCUUGUCCAUUUCUGUCAUUGUCUGCCUCAACCAUGGGAACAUCUGGGUCAUCUUCAUCUUCAAUGAGAAGAUCUGGGCAGCCAUGCUG